CACGUUACCGCUUGACCUUCUUUCAUCGUACGCUGUGUGCUCCUUCCAACGUUACUCAUUUCGAAACGAUGCCUCCACAGCUCCGCUCACUUCUUCUUACUCGGAUAAAGACAGAUCUUGCUGUUCUACCCGUCCUCUGCGCAGCCGGCGGUUUUCUCUGGUAUUGGUUCGUCAUGAAGCCGAGGAGAGAAGAAUACGCUGCGUUCUAUAAAGGCUAUAACGCUGAAGCCGUAGCGAAAAAGCUAGAAGCAGAACAAGGCUAGCUUUUCGUGAAGGAGACUGGAAGUCGAAUGGACUAGUAGACGCGUGUAUGUAGAUGUCUGGUGUAUGUUUAGACGGACGGUGACUAAUGUGUUGUGUGUAAAUGAAAAACUUAAUCGUUGCCAUGGUAACACUACCCGUGACGUCACAGAGAAAAUAGAAAUUGUUGUAACAUUGCCA